GGAAAAGAAACUAACAAGGAUUCCCCUAGUAACUGCGAGUGAAGCGGGAAAAGCUCAAAUUUAAAAUCUGGUAGUCUUUGGCUGCCCGAGUUGUAAUCUAGAGAAGUGUUAUCCGCGCUGGACCGUGUACAAGUCUCCUGGAAUGGAGCGUCAUAGAGGGUGAGAAUCCCGUCUUUGACACGGACUACCAGGGCUUUGUGAUGCGCUCUCAAAGAGUCGAGUUGUUUGGGAAUGCAGCUCUAAAUGGGUGGUAAAUUCCAUCUAAAGCUAAAUAUUGGCGAGAGACCGAUAGCGAACAAGUACCGUGAGGGAAAGAUGAAAAGAACUUUGGAAAGAGAGUUAAACAGUACGUGAAAUUGUUGAAAGGGAAACGCUUGAAGUCAGUCGCGUUGGCCAGGGAUCAACCUUGCUUUCUGCUUGGUGUACUUUCUGGUUGAUGGGUCAGCAUCAAUUUUGACCAGUGGAAAAAGAUCAGAGGAAUGUGGCAUCUUCGGAUGUGUUAUAGCCUUUGGUUGUAUACAUUGGUUGGGAUUGAGGAACUCAGCACGCCGCAAGGCCGGGUGUAAACCACGUUCGUGCUUAGGAUGCUGGCAUAAUGGCUUUAAUCGACCCGUCUUGAAACACGGACCAAGGAGUCUAACAUGCCUGCAAGUGUUUGGGUGGAAAACCCAAGCGCGUAAUGAAAGUGAAAGUUGGGAUCCCUGUCGUGGGGAGCACCGACGCCCGGACCAGACCUUCUGUGACGGUUCCGCGGUAGAGCAUGUAUGUUGGGACCCGAAAGAUGGUGAACUAUGCCUGAAUAGGGUGAAGCCAGAGGAAACUCUGGUGGAGGCUCGUAGCGAUUCUGACGUGCAAAUCGAUCGUCGAAUUUGG
rnacentral:rRNA from 1 species